UACGUAGGGGGCGAGCGUUAUCCGGAUUCACUGGGUGUAAAGGGAGCGUAGACGGCCAUGCAAGCCAGGGGUGAAAGCCCGGGGCCCAACCCCGGGACUGCCCUUGGAACUGCAUGGCUGGAGUGCGGGAGGGGCAGGCGGAAUUCCUGGUGUAGCGGUGAAAUGCGUAGAUAUUCGGAGGAACACCGGUGGCGAAGGCGGCCAACUGGGCUUUAACUGACGCUGAGGCUCGAAAGUGUGGGGAGCAAACAGG
rnacentral:rRNA from 1 species